rnacentral:rRNA from 1 species
UGGCGGACGGGUGAGUAACGAGUAAAGAACUUGCCCUUUAGACUGGGAUAACAGAGGGAAACUUCUGAUAAUACUGGAUAAGUUAGUAUAUCGCAUGAUAUGCAAAUGAAAGCUACGGCACUAAAGGAGAGCUUUGCGUCCUAUUAGCUAGUUGGUAAGGUAAGAGCUUACCAAGGCGAUGAUAGGUAGCCGGCCUGAGAGGGUGGACGGCCACAAGGGGACUGAGAUACGGCCCUUACUCCUACGGGAGGCAGCAGAA